GACGAACGCUGGCGGCGUGCUUAACACAUGCAAGUCGAACGAAGUGGCGAACGGGUGAGUAACGCGUAAUCAACCUGCCCUUCAGAGGGGGACAACAGGUGGAAACGACUGCUAAUACCGCAUACUGAAGGCGGUGAUUGCGUCUGAUUAGCUAGUAGGUGGGGUAACGGCUCACCUAGGCGACGAUCCCUCGCUGGACUGGGAGGAUGACCGGCCAAACGGGAACUGAGACACGGCCCAGAGUCCUACGGGAGGCAGCAGUGGGGAAUAUUGCACAAUGGGCGAAAGUGUGAUGCAGCAACGCGGCGUGUGUGAAGAAGGCCUUCGGGUUGUAAAGCACUGUCAGCGGAGAGCGUUACCCGCAGAAAAAGCACCGGCUAACUCCGUGCCAGCAGCCGCGGUAAUAC
rnacentral:rRNA from 1 species